CCUACGGGAGGCAGCAGUGAGGAAUAUUGGUCAAUGGGCGCGAGCCUGAACCAGCCAAGUAGCGUGAAGGAUGACUGCCCUACGGGCUGUAAACUUCUUUUAUAAAGGAAUAAAGUGAGGCACGUGUGCCUUUUUGUAUGUACUUUAUGAUUAAGGAUCGGCUAACUCCGUGCCAGCAGCCGCGGUCAUACGGAGGUUCCGAGCGUUAUCCGGAUUUAUUGGGUUUAAAGGGAGCGUAGAGGGGUUUUUAAUGCAGUUUGUAAAGUUUGCGGCUCAAGCGUAAAAUUGCAAUGGAAACGGGCAGUCUUGAGUACAGAUGGGGUGGGCGGAAUUCGAGGUGUAGCGGUGAAAUGCUUAGAUAUAACGAGGAACUCCGAUGGCGAAGGCGGCUCACUAAACUGCAACUGACACUGAGGCUCGAAAGUGUGGGGAGCAAACAGGAUUAGAUACCCUAGUAGUC
rnacentral:rRNA from 1 species